CGCCGAAGCAGAAUGUGGGAACUUAACCGCUGCACCACCAGGCCGGCCCCAGACUCCCUAUUUCUUAAACAGGGUUUUUUAAAUAACUGCUUUCUCAGAUUCAUUGUGAAUAUAUGUAAAUACUUCUGAGGACUAAUGAGGAACUAUAAUACCAACCUCAAGUGGGAAGUGGGCUUUAUAACUUAAAAGUGAAGAGGCCCCGGGACAGAAGGAAUUUGAAGGGAGAAAGUAACUGUGUAAUGUGUUAUAAUAAAUGUCUGAUCUCUAACCUAUUCCUGCAAUACCAUCCCAUUAGAUAACACCAGAGCCAGAUUUAGUUCUUAAAGGGCCCAAUAUUUCCCAUGCAAAUAUGGGCAGUCAUCGCUCUUAGCUGCUAGACAGUAGAUAUUUAGCUCCUUCUGUUUUUCCUCAAAGUAUCCCCCGCACCUUCCUGGUUUGCUGUGGCAUAUCUUUCUAAUAGCGCAAUGCUCAGAUAAAGAUCUGUUUCCACGGGACUGUAUAAGCAGAUUCGUAAAACAUGCUUCAAUUUGCCAAAUUCUUCUCCUAAUUCUUCAAAGUACUUUACAAAAUUAUCAAUUCUUUAAUUAUACCUACCAAAUAAAUGGCAAAUAUCUUUACAGUAGAAAAAUUAGAGGACAGAGUGAAACAGUCCUCUGCCUGAUGGUGACACACCCAGAAGUGCAUCUGGUCUGUCGAUUUGAUCCGUGCCACCUCUACCACUAGACAGGCUCCUCACUGUAGCCUGUGUCAGCGGGCUCACAGAUUUUUUUCUAGUGCUAAAAAGACAGUAUGGCCCAUAAUUUACGUGGCUGAGAAUGUGGGUCAUGUUUUUAAACUUUUGUCCGUUCUCAUUACACACUGGCAUAAAUAAUUACGUAGCAUAUUAGCAGCCCAUAGGCAGCCAACUGGGGACUCUAACACUCAAUCAGGAUGAACAAUCUGAUCAGAAACAAACAGUGAAGAAUUUAUAACCCUAUACCACUAUUGAAUACCAGGCUCUUUCCUAGAUUUGCUAUCAAAAACAUGACAUAUACAAGGUCAUCACUGCUCUGUUAUCUGUAAUGGUAAAAAGCCUGGAAACAAGCCAAGUAUCUACUACAGGAGACUGGUAUGGCCAAGUACCCGUAUAUGAGACUGGUACAGAAAGGUCUCCAGGAUAUUCUGUUAAAUAAAACAAACCAGGUGCAGAACAGUAUGUCUACAGUGCUACCUGUUGACAUGGGCGAUGGAGGUAGUGAGAAGCAGAGUGAGGUCUCCCAGCCUGCUUCCCUCACGCUGGCCUCUGCGUCUUCCCGCGCUUCCGCUGUGCAGUCUUCAGCUCAAACAAAUCACACAACAGAAGGACUGCGGGACAACACAUUUCAGUAUAUGGAUGGAUGGAAGAAAUCAAAAGGAGAGGCACAGUACAAGCAUUCAUGGACAUUGAAAGAAUUGUCAAUGCUUUAAAAACGGACUCCUAAGUACACUCCUUGGAUCAACUUCAAUAAUCCCUUAAGAACAAGAGAACGAUGGACCAAAGGGAACUUAGGAAAGCAGUCGAGCUUGUAACCUUAAACUAGCUUGAUAGUCUCUUCAGGAUUUUUUUUUUCCCCUAAUAAAAAUUAACUGCAAAAUAUUCUCUUUGAUCUGUAAAAGAAGUGAGAAACGAAAGCACUGUUUAGACCCAAAACAAGGAUCGGAAAGCUCAGAAAAAGGUAUCCUGUGCCACAGAGGCCACCAGAACAACUAGGAAGACGAGGUACCCUCGGAAGAAGUCGCUUUGAAAGCACGGCUUAGCGGAGCAGGCAGCGUCCGUCUUAACAAGUGGUCAGGGAAAUAACUGAGGGAAAAAAUAGGUGAGAGAAAAUCAGGUUAGGGAGACCUAAAAACAUACUUUCUUAAAGAGCGAAGGAGGUCAACGCAAGACCAAGGGAGGAACACGGGGUGACCACAGAGGGCUGGGCGGCCUGAGCCCGAGGGACAUGGACGCUUCAUCAGGGAAGACAGCUCCUUCCUCCCUGACUAGAAAAGUCACAGGCCACACGUCAGCACCACAGGAGACGCGAGGUACAGUGAAGCAGGACGAGGAAACGAAGAGCAGCCUGUAAUCCCACCCGCAAACCACCACUGCUGAUGCUCAAGUUUACGUGGAGAAGAGGAGCUUCCAAGAGGAACUCCUGGAAGAAGCAGAGCCUCCUGCGUUCACAUUCACAUCAAUUCAAAAAGCUGUAUUCACUACACUUUACCCCUGAGUUCACACCACAAGUUUUCUUAUAUGUAAAUCCUCCUUCUCAUCUUUUAAAAAAAUUUUUCUUCUGUCAUUUAUCUUAGUGUCUUAAUAAAAUUAACUUUUAAAAUACCCAAGUAGCAUGUGGAUUGCUCAGAAGAGCAGCAGAACACGUUUCUACAGCAGAGCGCAGAAAGCAGCGCACAUCCCCAGUGGCUGAGGGCAGUGAGGAAGCUGGGGUGAGCAGGAACCAAGAGGGAGCGGGCGGAGGGCUGGCCCCUCCCCAGGCCCCGUGGACAGCACUUAACGAUCUGUAACACUGGGCUGAAGCACAAAGUUUUCAUAACGUGCAGAGGCCUGCCAUUAUUCUUGGCUGAUAUUCACUCUGCCGUAGAUCUCAAACCUGCUCCAAUGUAGAGCAGAAAACUGAAAGAUGAUAACGGGCCCCCUGUGAAGUUAUCAUAUCCACAUAACAAGAAGGAACAUUAGGAGAGACGAUGGAAGAAAAAGAAAAGAUGGGGGGAAUCAGAGAAAGAAUAGCAGGAAAUGCCUCAAAACUGAAAGACACAAAUUUCCAGAAAUGAAAGCAUCCCCUGAGUACCGAGGACAGCUGAUGGGAAAGACCCACGCCACGUACAUCACCAUGAAAUGCCUGAACACCAGGGACACAGAGAACACCCUCAAAACUUCCAGUGAGGGAGAAAAGAAAAAAACAAACUAACAAAACACGGUCACACAGAAAGGAUCUGAACCCCUAUGCCACUAGAGCAUCACAGAUACCAGACAGCACAGCAAUGUCUUCCAAAUUCCAAGGGAAAAUUAUUUCCAGCCUAGAAUUCUGUAACACUGCCAAACUAUCAACCACGUUUGUGGGCAAAAUAAAGUCAUUCAAAUAUUUCUUAGGAGAUAAGCACAUAAACCAAGCAAAGGGGCAACACGGGUGCCAGCCUGGGAGCAGUGGAGGGCAGUACCUGAAAGAUAGUCGGGAGCUGUUCCUGAUGGGAAACAGUAAAGAGGGGAGGAAGAUGCAGGGCUCCAGAGAAAAAGGAAGCGACAAAUUUCAGCUCAGAAAAUGUUACUGAUAGGAAUGUGACUAAUAUGCUGGAGCAUUUGGAAAAAAACUAACAGUGGGACGUGAAAAAAACCAGGCAAAGGUCAACCUAAACACAAGGAAGAGCAGAGCUGAGACAGAUCAUCUGACUAGUGGUAUUUGGCAGAGGUAGAAAUACGAAAAAGCUGCCUGUUUUCACCAAAAAUGACAACACAGCUCUGUUAGGGGCCAGCCCGGUGGCACAGCGGUUAAGUUCAUGUGCUCUGCUUUGGUGGCCUAGGGUUCGCAGGCUCGGAUGCUGGGCGCAGACCAAUGCAACGCUCAUCAGGCCGUACUGUGGCAGGCAUCCCACAUAUAAAGUAGAGGAAGAUGAGCACGGAUGCUGGCUCAGGGCCAAUCUUCCCCAGCAAAAAGAGGAGGAUUGGCAGCGGAUGUUAGCUCAGGGCUGGUCUUCCUUGGGGGUGGGGAGGAAUUACAAUACAGGUCUGUUAGGGGGUGGAGGGCAUGGAAAGGUAGGGAGUGCAAGGUGGAGGAGCUAAGUUCUAAUGUAUCCCCACAAGAAAUCACCAGGCCAAACACGGGGGAAAAAAAGGACUAACAACACAUCAAAUGAUUCAGAAACACGAAGAUGAGGCCUGAGGAAAAAGGAAAGUAACUGAGCGGCUGCCUCUAAAGAAUGAGACUAGAAGGUGGGGAGACUAGAGGCAAUUGUUUUGUUUUUUUCUCUUAGAAUUCUUUUAGUACUAGCUGACUUUUUAAACCAUACAGAACAUGAAUUAUUUUGAUAAAAACAAAAUAAAAAGGGAAAAAAUAGCAACAUUUAAAAUUUGCCAUUUUUCUCUCUGCAUUUUUCAAACCUCACAUUGCAUCUGGUAUAUCCAUAGGGGUAUACCCAGGCCCCCAGAUGGCUUGCUGGGCAGGAGGGGGCAGGGAAAUUGACUCUGGGCCCUAACUCAGCACUGACUGAAUCACGAUUUCCGCAGGAGUGCUCUGUAGAUUUAAAAGGACCUCAGGAGCCAGCCCUGAUGGCCCAGCGGUUAAAGUUCGGUGCUCUCACCGCUUCAUCAGCCAGGGUUUGUUUCCCA